UUUGAAAGGAUUGAAGCCAGUCGUGCCGACGAGAAAUCAGUUCUUCGAGUGGAGGAUCGUGUGUGCGUAGAGUUUAACCACCUUCGUUGCGUGCGAUACCUGUGCUUCUGGGGCGUACUUUUUCGUAUGGUAGGUCAACAUCGAUUUUGGUUGCCAUAAAAUGGCCGGAGGAAUGUAGCUUCGAUUUCGGUUGAAGUGUUAUAGCCUCUGGUAGAUGUAGUGAUUGGGACUGAGGAUUGCAACGAAUAUCCUUUGGGCUAUCCGUCUGAUCUCUGAUAGUUGCUCAGGUGCCGAAAGCGUGCUUACGGUCAUCUAAGUUGACGGUCAAUAGGUUAGAACGUGAUUACAUUCGUUAAGGAUGUUGACUAA
rnacentral:rRNA from 1 species